CAAUAGCGUAUAUUAAAGUUGUUGCAGUUAAAAAGCUCGUAGUUGGAUUUCUGGUGGGAGCGAUCGGUCUGGCGCUUAGCGCGAGUACUUGCAUCGUCUCCGGCCAUCCUUGGGGAGAGUCUGUCUGGCAUUAAGUUGUCGGGCAGAGGAUCCUCAUCGUUUACUGUGAAAAAAUUAGAGUGUUCAAAGCAGGCUUAUGCCGUUGAAUAUAUUAGCAUGGAAUAAUAAGAUAGGACUUUGGUACUAUUUUGUUGGUUUGCGCACCAAAGUAAUGAUUAAUAGGGACAGUUGGGGGUAUUCGUAUUCCGUUGUCAGAGGUGAAAUUCUUGGAUUUACGGAAGACUAACUACUGCGAAAGCAUUUACCAAGGAUGUUUUCAUUAA
rnacentral:rRNA from 1 species